UACGGAGGGUGCAAGCGUUAUCCGGAAUCACUGGGUUUAAAGGGUGCGUAGGUGGUUUAGUAAGUCAGAUGUGAAAGCCCGGCGCUCAACGUCGGAAUUGCAUUUGAUACUGCUGAACUUGAAUCAGGUUGAGGUGGGCGGAAUGUGGCAUGUAGCGGUGAAAUGCAUAGAUAUGCCAUAGAACACCAAUUGCGAAGGCAGCUCACUGGCCCUGAUUGAUCACUGAGGCACGAAAGCGUGGGGAGCGAAC
rnacentral:rRNA from 1 species